GAAGCGGGCGUGUGCAAAAACAGCGCGCCGAUUUGACAAACGGAAGCGCCUCUGGUUUACAGAUUAACGAAGAAUUAAAGAGCGUAUUUAUUUGAUGUCUCGCUCCAAAUAGCGAUCAACUAUUAGCUCAAGAGAUACGAAUGUGUUUAUAACCUUGCUUUUGUUGUUAGUAUGGCGGUGCCUUUUGUGCAGGACUGGGAUCUUGUUCAGACACUUGGAGAAGGCGCUUAUGGAGAAGUGAGGCUGCUGGUGAACAGACAGACACAGGAGGCAGUCGCAGUAAAAGUGAUCGACACCUUGCAAGCCAAAGAGUGUGCGGAAAAUGUCAGGAAGGAAAUCUGCGUGCACAAGGUGCUCAACCACCACAACAUUGUGCGAUUCUUCGGCUGUCGGACAGAAGGAACUACAGUCUACCUCUUUUUGGAGUACUGCACUGGAGGCGAGCUGUUUGAUCGCAUUGAGCCGGAUGUCGGAAUGGCAGAGAAAGAUGCUCACAAAUUUUUCCAGCAACUUGUCGCCGCUGUGGUGACCUCCAUCCGUAGUUUUUCCUUCUCGCAGGAAUACCUCCACAAAAUCGGCAUCACUCACAGAGACAUAAAGCCAGAGAACAUUUUGCUGGAUGACAAAGACAACCUCAAGUUGAGCGAUUUUGGUCUGGCAACCAUGUUUCGCUUCAAAGGACGGGAGCGGCCGUUGUCUCGUGUCUGCGGAACUCUCCCUUACGUCGCACCAGAGCUGUUGAGCCAGGUCGAGUACCAAGCUCAGCCCGCAGAUAUCUGGGCUUGCGGGAUUGUGCUGACCGCAAUGCUAGCUGGAGAAUUGCCAUGGGACCAGCCGUCGGAAAUCUGUCAGGAAUUUUCUGAUUGGCUAAAGAAGAAAACCUACUUGCCGCCCUGGAAGAAAAUACAGCCGAUGCCUCUUUGUUUGUUGUCCAAGUUACUUUUGGCCAAACCAGAAGCACGCAUUACCAUUGAGGACAUUCAGAAAGACCGCUGGUUCAUUGAAGGUGUAAAGAUGUCCGUAGCUACUUCAAACUCAAGUAGCAACAAAGACCAACGAUCAAGUGUUGGAGUUAUAUCUCGAGUCGGAAGUGAUGAGCAGAUGCAGUUCUCCAGCUCCCAGCCCGACCCAGCCGCAGAAGGCUGGGAAGCCAUGCUGUUCAUUGCCCAAUCGGAGGGUCAGGUCAGCUUCUCUCAGCCGACCAAACCCGAGCACAUGCUGCUGGGUAGUCAGCUGCUGGCGACGCCGGGAGCAAGUCAGACACCGUGGCAAAGAUUAGUUCGCAGAAUGACGCGUUUCUUCACAUCGGUGAGCGCUGACACCUCGUUGACUUCACUGAAGGGCGCCUGUGACAACAUGGCACUCAGCUACAAACUCACUUGCAACAAUCAGGUGACUGUGAGUACCUCGGACAAGCGCAACAACAAGCUGAUUUUCAAAGUCCACUUGCUGGAAAUGAAUAAAACAGUGCUGUUAGACUUCAGGCUAUCUAAGGGUGACGGUCUGGAAUUCAAGCGUCUCUUCUUGAAGAUAAAACAGAAGUUGGGUGACAUCAUCUGCACGCAGAAGAUUGCAUUUCCGACCGCAUGAAGCUUCUGGUGACCACGAACAAAUGAACUGUGAAAGGAGGAAGCAUCUGUAUAUACAACACCGUGCUUCUCUGGAGGUCUUAGGACAGUGGGCAGGACUUGGCUGGCCCGGACGCUCUGCUACGCUGCGUGACGAUUGGAUGAUCUGUCUGAGGCUGAAUCCCUUUUUGAUUGACAGGGAAAUGAGCGAAUCAGCAAUUUUGUUGUUUAACGUCCGUGGGAAGAAUUUUUCAAUUUUCAUUCUGUUGUUCUGAGUUGAACUGGAGACUUUCCUAAUCAUCUUAGUGACACUAUCUUUGUUAAAAACGACAAGUAAAAAAAUUUUUUUUUUCUUUUGUCGCUGCUUGUGUUUAGAGACAGACUUCUGGCACUCUAAUUUCUUUCCCUGAGCCCCUUUGGACACACUUUGAGCUUCCCCUCCUUGAAAUAACAGCAUCCACCACUGGUAUAUACACUUAACAUAUUUAGAAUCUUAGGCUUAUAACAUGGAUGUUCUCAGCUGUUAGCAAUCACAGAUAUGGCGUGAGUAAAGUUGUAAAAUUUGGGGAAUUUUUGAAGUUGGACAUGUUGCAAGCUGAUGUAACAUGGGUAUUUAUAGGAUUUAAAAAAAUAAUAAUAAUAAAUUUAAAAAAAAACAGUUUUAACACAAAACAGCUAGUUCACUGGUUCCCCCAUUAGUUCUUAGUUCUGUGAUUCAUGUUGCUAGACUAUAUACUGUACUAUUUAGUACACCAGAUCCCAUUUUAAGUUAAAACUCAUUGAGUCAACAGGGAAAUUGUAUUAGAUUGUUGAUAGAAGCUACUCAAAAUGUAAUUACUAAAAGUUUAUAAGGGUGCGCCAUAUAGUAGUACCGUAAUAAUCUCCAUCCACAUCCUCAGCUUUGUCCAACUUUGAAUAUUUCCAAAAUUCCCCCGCUUAACUUUAGGUGGAAUAUUCUCAUAUACAUAGAACAUAAGAUGACAGAAGAAGGGAAGAAGCAAACAGAAAAUGAUUGUCGUGUGUGGAUGUUUGUGUAGGAUUUGGGUUGGGUCUUUCACCUGAGUAGAUAAAGAAAGGAAAAAACAAUGUUAAACUGUUACCAGAUUAAAUUAUUAACCACAGCCUAAUUAAGAUUCACUAAUAAAGGCCUUUAAAAAAAAUGUGUUCUCAGUAAGCUUGCACACUCAACUGGUAGAUGUAAGCAACAAAAUACAUUGUUGAUCGUGUAGAGGUCGACCGACAUAUCGGCCGGCCGUUAUAUCGGGCCAAUAUUUGGCUAUUUUUCCAAAACCGGCCAAUUAACAAAAGAUAUUAAAGCCGAUUAAUAAGGAUUUUAAUCAGGCAACUGGGGCCGCCGCUGACUGACUGUAUGA